UACGUAGGGGGCAAGCGUUAUCCGGAUUUACUGGGUGUAAAGGGAGCGCAGACGGCAGUGCAAGUCUGGAGUGAAAGCCCGGGGCCCAACCCCGGAACUGCUCUGGAAACUGUGCGGCUAGAGUACUGGAGGGGCAGGCGGAAUUCCUAGUGUAGCGGUGAAAUGCGUAGAUAUUAGGAGGAACACCAGUGGCGAAGGCGGCCUGCUGGACAGUAACUGACGUUGAGGCUCGAAAGCGUGGGGAGCGAACAGG
rnacentral:rRNA from 1 species